rnacentral:sRNA from 1 species
UCUGGGUACAGUGGUACAUACCUGUAAUCCUAACUGUUGGGAGGCUGAGGCAGGAUAAUUGUGUGAACCCAGGAGUUUGAGGUUACCCUGGGCAACAUGUUAAGCCCCUGUGUCUA